CCCUCGACACCCUCGCCAAGGACCUCUUUCGCUAGAUUCUUGUGCUCUUUGUCACGCUUGUGCUCGAGGAUCAUUUCACCUGUACUAAAGCCUGUCCACGUUAAAUUUCGGACACCUAAAAACGGCAGAAUCUCAAAAACUAUGUUAAAACCGUCAAAUAAAACACUAAUCAAACAUGAAGGUAUGCACGAUUUAAUCUUCAACCAUAAGGUUUCAACCACCCUAUGUACAUGGAUUAGUAUCAUCGUUGGCUCUGAUCGUAGGCCAAUAAUAUAUCCGAUCACAGUGAGUGACCUCCCGGAUGAGAGACCUGAGUAACUAUCAGUUUGAUUAAAACACGGUUCAAUUCGUCUUCAGGGGGCUGUGUUUAUAUGUAAAAAAUGCGAAAAUCAAUUUAAAAAGUAGACAAUUUUUGAAAGUACUAACAUUGUUAUGACCUCAAAAGCUUCAAAAAUUACAUUAACAAUUCGAAAAUGAUUUUUCAUUGGGGCCGAACUGACUUGAUCGAUUUUUCUUCAUCGAUUUUCUCUUUCGCUAAACAAAAUAAAUCAUUAUUCUUCAAGUUUGUAUAGAAAGCAGUAGUUGUCUACUUCGUGUUUUAACCAAAAAACGCAAAACACGUUCUAUGUUUAAUAACACAAAGAAAGGAUCGUUGAAAUCCACAAUGUCAGUUGGACCCUAAUAAAAAAUCAUUGUCGCAUUGUUACUGGUGUUUUCAAUUUCAUAAGAAUAAUUUUCUCAGUGUAGGUAAAAGAAGAUUACCUUGGUGCCACAUCUAGAGAACAACAGAAAGACUCCAGAUGCAUUUCAACAUUUCCUCGUUGGGAAACGUUCACUGAUAUCUCGAAAGAUGGAAAAAUAAACCAAAUGAAUAAUGCAGGCAACUGUCUCAAGACAACCAAUUAAUACUUUAUGUGCCUCCUUUGGAGAUAUCCCUUCCACUAACAACACCCAAAUUCCUGUGACACCUAGCCCUGAGGGAUCGUAGAGCUGUUUACAUCUUUCAUAGGUGACCAAAACUAAAAUUCUCUCCCAUUCCUCAGUAGUCGCAAGGACGUGGCCAGGACAGUUUUCGACCAUUCGAGGAUUACGUCAGUCUUGUCUAUGAGUCAGAGAUUAGUCCCAAACCUUUGUGCUUUGGUUCUGACGGGAAGGAGGCAACCCUCAUAACAGCGGUCUAGGACUGUACCAUCUACGAAUUAAUGCUAAUACUAACUGCUGAGGCGGAAUUCGUUGCCAUUUCGGAAGCCACACUGGAAAUGAUGUGACUGAAGCGUCAUCUGAAGGACUUCAACGAGGAUUAGAGGCCACGUGUUGAGGAGGAGUGUUCGUGCAUUCUUUAUUGCAUUGCUUUAUUACAUUGCCGGUUUCCUUUUAUAAGACAUGCAGCUAUCGGACGCAA